AGCGAACGCUGGCGGCAGGCCUAACACAUGCAAGUCGAACGCCCCUUCGGGGGAGUGGCGGACGGGUGAGUAACGCGUGGGAACGUGCCCUAAGGUACGGAACAACUGAGGGAAACUUCAGCUAAUACCGUAUGUGCCCUACGGGGGAAAGAUUUAUCGCCUUAGGAGCGGCCCGCGUUGGAUUAGGUAGUUGGUGGGGUAAAGGCCCACCAAGCCUACGAUCCAUAGCUGGUCUGAGAGGAUGAUCAGCCACACUGGGACUGAGACACGGCCCAGACUCCUACGGGAGGCAGCAGUGGGGAAUCUUGCGCAAUGGGCGAAAGCCUGACGCAGCCAUGCCGCGUGAAUGAUGAAGGUCUUAGGAUUGUAAAAUUCUUUCACCGGGGAAGAUAAUGACGGUACCCGGAGAAGAAGCCCCGGCUAACUUCGUGCCAGCAGCCGCGGUAAUAC
rnacentral:rRNA from 1 species